GGCUCAGACGAAACGCUGGCGGCGUGCUUAACACAUGCAAGUCGAGCGAGAAAGGGGGGGCAACCCCCUGAGUAGAGCGGCGCACGGGUGAGUAACGCGUGGGUAACCUACCCCCAGGCGGGGGAUAACUACUCGAAAGGGUGGCUAAUACCGCAUGAGACCACGGGAUCUUCGGAUCCUGAGGCUAAAGAUCGCACCGGCUUGCCGGUGCUGUCACCAGGGGAUGGGCCCGCGUCCGAUUAGCUAGUUGGCGAGGUAAUGGCUCACCAAGGCUCCGAUCGGUAGCUGGUCUGAGAGGAUGAUCAGCCACACUGGAACUGAAACACGGUCCAGACUCCUACGGGAGGCAGCAGUGAGGAAUAUUGCGCAAUGGGGGAAACCCUGACGCAGCAACGCCGCGUGGGUGAAGAAGGCCUUCGGGUCGUAAAGCCCUUUCGGACGGGACGAACGCUCCGCGGUGACAAGCCGCGGAGUCUGACGGUACCGUAGGAAGAAGCACCGGCUAACUCCGUGCCAGCAGCCGCGGUAAUACGGAGGGUGCGAGCGUUGUUCGGAAUUACUGGGCGUAAAGCGCGUGUAGGCGGCCUUGCAAGUCAGGCGUGAAAGCCCUCGGCUUAACCGGGGAAGUGCGUCUGAAACUGCUUGGCUUGAGUACGGGAGAGGGAGGCGGAAUUCCCAGUGUAGAGGUGAAAUUCGUAGAUAUUGGGAGGAACACCGGUGGCGAAAGCGGCCUCCUGGACCGAUACUGACGCUGAGACGCGAAAGCGUGGGGAGCAAACAGGAUUAGAUACCCUGGUAGUCCACGCGGUAAACGAUGGGCACUAGGUGUGGGGGGUAUCCACUCCUCCCGUGCCGAAGCUAACGCAUUAAGUGCCCCGCCUGGGGAGUACGGCCGCAAGGUAAAACUCAAAU
rnacentral:rRNA from 1 species